CCCCUCUAACUUUAAAUUUUAUAUUGACAGGAUUUUUUACCAACAGUAUUUAUAUUUCACUACCUUCUUAUUAUUUCUUCUAAAAUAUAAAUUAUUUUGUGGACUUCCAAUUUAAUUUGGCAAUGUAUUAUUCAUACCCACAUAAUCCUAACAAAAGAAGCCGGUAGAAAUGUACAGAUAUACAGUAUUUUGGAAAAAAACAAUUAUUGUCUACCUAUCGCACAAACAAACUAUUGUGUGCUACUAAGCUUCUGUGCCACACAAUUCAAUAAGACGACUUCUACAAUCGUUUUCUUAAUUAUAUUUUGUGUGUAAGUAUGACAUGUGUAGUGUUAUAGUGGCUUUUUCUUUCUUAUUUCAACUAAAUCUCCUUUUUGAUGUUGCUUUUGAUAUGACCCAAGUUUCUUAUAUCACGAUUACGACUCCUGAGUGAAGAAGUUUGUGCUUAUUUAGGUGGCGUAGUUAUCUCAUUUAAAUAAUUAUUCUAUACGACAACUACGAAUAUGAUAAUAAUGAUGUGAUUUGCCACUUUCUAUGUUUUAUUUGUUUAUAAGUCCACGUUAGAAUGCUUUAGGUUGAAAACAAAACAAAAGAGAAUUGAUAAAAGAAAUUAUAGUAGUAUAUAUUCUGCUUAUUUUAUCAUGACCGCAUAAAUAUUUUGAUAACGAAUAACUACAAACAUAAAUAUUCUGAGUUUAAUCCUUCUCAGGACUAAUUAUUAUUUAAAUUAAAAAGUCAAAUGCUGAUUUUGAAUAUAUAAAAAGAUUGUAUGUAAAAAUCUCAUAACUCUCAUACUUUGAAAAUAUUAUCAGUGUGUCAUCAUAUAACUUAAAAUUCAUAUAUUAUAUGUUGUGGAUAAAAGCUAAGAACCACAAACAUACGGAACCUUAAAAAGUUAUUCAUGCAAUUUGUAUGUUUUAUACACACAUCUUUGUAUAUGCCAAUUUUAAUAUGAAAGAUAAAGUCGAUAUAAUACCUUAUUUGAAGGGUGCAUUUUGCCGAUUAACCAAAUUCUCAAUAAGCCUUAAGAAUAUAACACUAGUAAGUGGGAAAUAAAGUCAAUAGCUAAAAACACUGUUUUUAUGUUUUACCCUUCUAACUAUAAACAUAAUAGUGUUAUAUUAUUUGUCUAUUUGUUAUACUUCCUGUAUAUAGGAUAAACACAUAAUAGUAUACUAUAAGAUUUUUUUUGUCAUCAUACUAGAAGAUAUAUGAUACUAUAUAUUGAUAGAUGUUAAUGAAACUAAAUUAAGUUAAGUAAUAAAUGAAAUUUAAAUGUAGGAAGAAUUUAUUGUUGAUCAAUGUUGUUUUAAACGAUUGAAUACUGAGAAUUUGAUUUGUCAAAAUAGUAUAAAACAAAUAAAAAAUAAUAUAGAGUUAUGGUAGAAUUAAUAACAGAGAAAUGUAUGACUACUGAGGAAAUAUAAACAUAUAGAAUAAAGCAACAUAUAUGUUCUAUAUAGUAUGAAAUAAAAAAUUUUAUGAUUAUCUAUCUAUAUUUUUGAAAAGUGUGUAAUUUCAAAAAUUCAAAUCAUGUUGUAUUUGAAAAAGAUUUAUACUUUUUGAGUUGAAUUUCAAAUUUUGUUUAUUAUAUAGUUUGAAGAAUAUAUAAGGAAUAUGGUCAUAGGGGAAAGACAUAAACAGAAGUAAACAUUUAAUGAAGUAAAUAAAAAGGGUGAUAUGAUAUACUUCCUCUGUUCCUAAAAGAUUAAUGUUUUGGAAAAAUAAUUUGUUUCAAAAAGAUGUAUAUUUUAUGUUUUCUAUGAGAAAAUUGUAAAUUUUAAGAAAAUUGAUUGGUUUUAUUAGAUUACUAUUGGUUAAAAGUUGUUGAAAAUUGAAAAUUAUAGAAAACGAUAAAUUUAUUAUAGUGAUUUAAUGUGUUUUCUUAAUAUGUGUGAAAACACUAAAAAUCUAUAUUUUAGGAACGGAGGGAGUAUAUGAUAGAGGAUGAUUUUUUGCUAAUUAUUAAAUAUAAUUUAUUUGAUGUAUAUAUACAAUGCAAUUUCCAUUAUUUGAAUUCGAGUUGGAAUGAUGCUCAAGAUUAAAGUGACUUUAUUUUCCAUGUUUUGCUUCUUACGAAGAAGAAAUCUUUGCUUUUUUAAACAUUGUGUGAGUAAUCAUUUAAUUGUAUGAUUAAAGCUACUUUUGACUUGAUUUCAGAAAAAAACAGCCAAUCUUCACCGGAGGUGUUAAAGCUGAAGGGUUUGUACGUUCUUUUUUUUUUUUUUUUUUUUGAGAAAUAGGUUUGUACGUUCUUUAUCGAAGAUUUGUGUCUCUCUAUUUUGAGUAAAUCAUCUUUUUAUUUCAUAAUAAUUAUGAUCAACAAAAUAAUACUCUACAAUAGUACAUAUCAAAACCAUGAAAGUCGAAAAUAAGGACUAUAACGGUUUAUAUUAGUAUUGUUAUUGUGUCAAUAGAUGUGCGAAGUGCUGAUAAAAAUGGAGUAGUUUGGUAGAUGGCAAGGAUCUUCAUUUUUUAAAACUUGUUAAAUAACACUACACUAUAUACAGUAAUAUUCAUAACACAGAUUUAACGGCAACAAAAACAUAGACCUAAAACGAUUGUAGGAUACACACCUGAAAACUUGCAUGUGUUUUGGCCCACAAGAUCUUAAACACACUGACCAAAAAUCACCAUUUUGUAACAUAUUAAUUUGUUAUGGAAAUUUCAAAUAAAAACGAUAUACGGAGCAUAACAACAUAGUUUGCUACAUCCUUUACCAAAAAAAAAAAAACAUAGUUUGCUACAUCCUUUACAAAAAAAAAACAUAGUUUGCUACAAUAUACAAAAUAAGUAUAAAGAUAUGAGGAAAUUAAAAGCCAUAUAAAUAAGUAAAAUAAAAAAAUCUAAAUUGAUGUUUAUAUAUCUGAAUGGAACCUACCGAUUACGUGAAAGUAAAGAUGAUCCAAUUAUCCAAACCAUACCAGAAUUGGCCGACACACGAAAGGCUAAAGCAUAUUCAUAGGGAAGCACUCUCUCUCUCUCUCUCUCUCACACUCUACAUAUAUAAGAUUAUUAUUUCUUUUUAUGCAAUGAUUGUACGAUCGACUAUUUUACAUGUAGCAUAAUAAGCUUCUUUUAGCAUGUAUUAGAAGUUAGAAUAAGCUAUAUACAUUUUAUAUAAUACAAUGGUAAAGUGGAGUUUAGUUGAUCUAAUGUUCACAAAAAGCUUGUUUGAUCUAAUUAACUUUGGUAUAAAUAUUUUUUGUUUUAUUUCUCUCUGGUAAGUUUGAAUUAUCCAUAUAUAAUAGAACCAUAUAUAAUAGAGCCAUAUAUAAUAUGUAGUUAUAAAUAAUAAUAUAAACAAAAUGUAUAUAUAUAUAUAUAUAUAUAUCAAGCUCAAAGACCCACAUUGUUGGGGGAGAAAGAAUCAAGAGUAAUUAGGCACUAUACACAUAGAAAUCGCUAUAAUUAGCGAAAUACCAUUUCACUGUAUAAAGCACUGUACAAACUUUUUUAAUACCGAAAGACCCCUACGUUCUUACUUUCAUAGCAUCUGGCUCUAGCACCCUAUGUGUCAGACAUCAGUAUAGAGCUAAACCUACCACACUCCAGCAAAUGUACUACGCUAACCCCCUCCCCCCCCCCCCCCCCAAAAAGACGCUGAGAGUAAUUAAAGAACCCUCAAUUACAUUAUUAUUUAGUUUAAUAUAUAUGUGGAAAGCCCUGUCUUUCUCUUUCACUUAUUCACUUUCUCAAGCUCUUCAUCCUUUCUCAUUUUUGAAGAAGUUACAAAAAUACUUUCAUCUCUGGGGUAGAGUAACCUUCGAGAUGCUUGCUACUGGAAUCAAGAAGAAGGACAAAGAAUUACUUUCACAACUCAGUGUUGCAUUACCUGGGGUCGUAGAUGCGAUUCAGCUUGUAUUCAUGGACGUCGUUCCCCAGAUUAAAGAGGUUUUCCCGUAGACAUAACAUGUUGUCUUGAUUGAAUCGGACAGUGAAACUGAGUCGGAAUGUAAUGACACCGCAGCAGAAGUAGAAGAAGAAACCGACGCCCCACCGUCUCCGCCAAAGACGCUGCGCUACUAUUUCAACCCAACUCACGUCAGAGACCUAGAUGAAGAAGCAAAGGUCUUAGAUGCAAUGGUGGUUUUCGCAUCCAGAGCCAGAUCAAAAAGAUAUCAACCCAAUCACCACCGUCGUCCCUCACAUCCUCAAUUCUGCAAGCCGGCAAGUGUCCACCAGUGCACCCUUUGUUCUGUCUAGGAUGAAGGGCAUCCCACAGAAUCCCAAUUCAAGGGACUCAACUGUUAUGACAGUGUUUCUCAUACAGGCCCACACUUCAAAUGGAAUGGAAAGAUGCAAAUAGGUCACUGAAGCUUCACUGCCUGCAAAACUCAUGGCCUUUCUGGUUUAUCAAGACAUAACACCAGCAUGAAAGAUCGAUGGAUUAUCACUUCUCUGAUUCGCUACUCCUUAUUCUUUUAAAAAAUUCUAUAUUUUUAAGCAUGAAACUCUUACUUUUUCUCGCUACUUGUUCUACAUUUAGAUGUUGUAUCCUCGCCCACAAACUAAUUUUGUGAUCUCACUAUCCCCUGUUAACUUCUAAGUUUACUUGUUCCAAUGAUUACUCAUA